rnacentral:ncRNA from 1 species
AACCCAGUUUUGGGGACCUUGGUACAGGCAGGCCGGGGAAUCCCCUUCUUUAUUCGACGCCAGCGCGCGUCAUGUGCAACGCGCCGCCGCUCGCCAACGGGCACGGCGCCACCCGUUUCGGGGACCUUGGUACAGGCAGGCCGGGGAAUCCCCCUCUUUAUUCGGGACGCAGUGCCAGUCGGGCACGCCAGCGUCCAUCCUCCUGCGCACCGUGCCAUUGCCCCGCCA